GGGGGUAUUGUGUCGAAUUUUGCAGUGGCCUACUGAAAGUUGCCGCUAUCAAAAAAAUUAAAGAUAUUCAAUUGGCUAACUAUCGAAAAUAGAAUCAUCAUAUCUGAGAAUAUGAAGAAAAAAAAUUGGAUAGAACCUGAAAGGUGUCCACUUUGUGGAAAGGAAAGAGAAACAACCAGUCACCUUUUUAUCUACUGUGAGUUCCUAACAUC
rnacentral:lncRNA from 1 species